rnacentral:rRNA from 1 species
GACGAACGCUGGCGGCGUACUUAACACAUGCAAGUCGAACGGAAAGACCCUGCUUUUGUGGGGUGCUCGAGUGGCGAACGGGUGAGUAACACGUGAGUAACCUGCCCUUGACUUUGGGAUAACUUCAGGAAACUGGGGCUAAUACCGGAUAGGAGCUCCUGCUGCAUGGUGGGGGUUGGAAAGUUUCGGCGGUUGGGGAUGGACUCGCGGCUUAUCAGCUUGUUGGUGGGGUAGUGGCUUACCAAGGCUUUGACGGGUAGCCGGCCUGAGAGGGUGACCGGCCACAUUGGGACUGAGAUACGGCCCAGACUCCUACGGGAGGCAGCAGUGGGGAAUAUUGCACAAUGGGCGGAAGCCUGAUGCAGCAACGCCGCGUGCGGGAUGACGGCCUUCGGGUUGUAAACCGCUUUCGCCUGUGACGAAGCGUGAGUGACGGUAAUGGGUAAAGAAGCACCGGCUAACUACGUG